AAAAACAUCGCCUCCUGUCUUUAAAUAGGAGGUCCAACCUGCCCAGUGAAAUUUUCAACGGCCGCGGUACCCUGACCGUGCUAAGGUAGCGCAAUCACUUGCCCUUUAAUUGGGGGCUAGUAUGAAUGGUCAAACGAGGGUGGAACUGUCUCGUUAAGGUCCCCGAAAACUAUCCUUCACGUGAAGAGACCUGAUUAAAAUAGAAAGACGAGAAGACCCUAUCAAGCUUUACACUCCCACGAGCUUUCAACCUCCCCGCCCGCGAGUGUUUUGUUGGGGCAACACAGGAACUCACUCUUCCUUAUUACAACCUUUACUCACCUAAACAAUCCGGCAACAGCCGAACUAAAAUAAAGCUACUGUAGGGAUAACAGGCUAAUCUGCUUCGAGAGCCCACAUUGACAAGCAGGCUUGGCACCUCGAUGUUGGCUUAAGAUUCCUUAUUGGGGCAGCCCCCAAUAAAAGGAGGUUUGUUCAACCUAUAAAAUCUUACAUGAUCAGAG
rnacentral:rRNA from 1 species